GAUGAACGCUGGCGGCGUGCCUAAUACAUGCAAGUCGAGCGAACGGAUAAGGAGCUUGCUCCUUUGAAGUUAGCGGCGGACGGGUGAGUAACACGUGGGUAACCUACCUAUAAGACUGGAAUAACUUCGGGAAACCGGAGCUAAUGCCGGAUAACAUUUGGAACUGCAUGGUUCUAAAGUAAAAGAUGGUUUUGCUAUCACUUAUAGAUGGACCCGCGCCGUAUUAGCUAGUUGGUAAGGUAACGGCUUACCAAGGCAACGAUACGUAGCCGACCUGAGAGGGUGAUCGGACACACUGGAACUGAGACACGGUACAGACUCCUACGGGAGGCAGCAGUAGGGAAUCUUCCGCAAUGGACGAAAGUCUGACGGAGCAACGCCGCGUGAGUGAUGAAGGUUUUCGGAUCGUAAAACUCUGUUAUUAGGGAAGAACAAAUGUGUAAGUAACUGUGCACAUCUUGACGGUACCUAAUCAGAAAGCCACGGCUAACUACGUGCCAGCCGCCGCAGUAA
rnacentral:rRNA from 1 species